rnacentral:rRNA from 1 species
AACGGAUAUCUCGGCUCUCGCAUCGAUGAAGAACGUAGCGAAAUGCGAUACCUGGUGUGAAUUGCAGAAUCCCGCGAACCAUCGAGUCUUUGAACGCAAGUUGCGCCCGAGGCCUUCUGGCCGAGGGCACGCCUGCCUGGGCGUCACGCCAAACACGCUUCCAC